UGGGGAAUCUUGCACAAUGCGCGAAAGCGUGAUGCAGCAACGCCGCGUGGGGGAAGAAGGCCUUCGGGUUGUAAACCCCUUUCAGUUGGGACGAAGCUUCGUCGGUGAAUAGCCGGCCGGAGUGACGGUACCUUCAGAAGAAGCCCCGGCUAACUACGUGCCAGCAGCCGCGGUAAUACGUAGGGGGCAAGCGUUGUCCGGAAUCAUUGGGCGUAAAGCGCGUGUAGGCGGUUCGGUAAGUCUGCUGUGAAAGUCCAGGGCUCAACCCUGGGAUGCCGGUGGAUACUGUCGAACUAGAGUACGGAAGAGGCGAGUGGAAUUCCCGGUGUAGCGGUGAAAUGCGCAGAUAUCGGGAGGAACACCAAUUGCGAAGGCAGCUCGCUGGGACGUCACUGACGCUGAGACGCGAAAGCGUGGGGAGCAAACAG
rnacentral:rRNA from 1 species